rnacentral:rRNA from 1 species
AGUGAACGCUGGCGGUAGGCCUAACACAUGCAAGUCGAACGGCAGCACAGUAAGAGCUUGCUCUUACGGGUGGCGAGUGGCGGACGGGUGAGGAAUACAUCGGAAUCUACUUUUUCGUGGGGGAUAACGUAGGGAAACUUACGCUAAUACCGCAUACGACCUACGGGUGAAAGCAGGGGAUCUUCGGACCUUGCGCGAUUGAAUGAGCCGAUGUCGGAUUAGCUAGUUGGCGGGGUAAAGGCCCACCAAGGCGACGAUCCGUAGCUGGUCUGAGAGGAUGAUCAGCCACACUGGAACUGAGACACGGUCCAGACUCCGACGGGAGGCAGCAGUGGGGAAUAUUGGACAAUGGGCGAAAGCCUGAUCCAGCCAUACCGCGUGGGUGAAGAAGGCCUUCGGGUUGUAAAGCCCUUUUGUUGGGAAAGAAAAGCAGCAGGUUAAUACCCCGCUGUUCUGACGGUACCCAAAGAAUAAGCACCGGCUAACUUCG